ACAUAAAUCUGGAAAAAAAAUAUUCAUCAAGUCUUCUUUGCAAUGUGUUUGUCCUUGUGUCAGCUCCCUUCUCUACUAUUUUCUCCCAUAUUUUCUCAUUCACAUUCGGCAGCUCUUGGCGUAAACACCUAAAAUUGUUUUGACUAGUCUCAAAAACAUUUUUUGUUUAGUCUCAAAUUUUUUUUCUGGUUCAUGAAACGUAACGGCUUACAAAUGUGCGGACCGUGCUGUGGACCCUGUGGUGGCUGCUGCGGACCUUGCGGCGGCUGCUGUGGCCCAUGCGGCUCCUGUGGCCCAUGCUGUGGUCCCUGUGGCAGCUCCUGCUGUAGCCCCUGCUGUGGCCCAUGCUGUGGACCAUGUGGAUCGUGCUGCGGACCCUGCGGAUAUUGCUGAUGCCAUCGAAGGAUCUGACCGUGAAUCACGAACUUUAAUUUGAGACGGCAAUAAACAGGGCUUAAAGCGUUCAAAUUUUGAUGCUUAAUGACCAUCAAAGCCCAACCAAAA